CUGAACACAUUUGCUCAUUGCCAUUGAGUAGCUUACACGUGUCUACAUAGUAUCAGUUAAGACGAGCAUUGUUGAAUUAUCAUCAAAUAUGAUCAAAAAUGUUGGUCUUCUCGUGUUUUUCAUGGUGUGUUUGGCCCUAGCUCAGACUACGGAUCCACCGUUUUGAACCUGGGGACACACAUUUCCUUCUUUCAAAUACUGCGAAGAACAUGGACAUUUUUGGCUUAAUGGAUGAUGAAAAUGCUUCAGAUGGGUCCGGGGACAUACAUUUCCUGCUUUCAAAUAAUGCGACUGAUCAAGAUAAAUAUGCCGACUUGGACAGUUUGACCGAUGACGAGAUGCCAUGUGAUGGAAUAUGCCUCUGCAAAGCGCUAUUGACUCACAUUGUCAAACAGUUGCCGACAAAUGGCUCAGAACCUGAGGCUCAUUUAAAAAGUGUGAUACAUGACGCCUGUGAAAAGAUCAAAGUGCCGACAGAUAAAUGCACUGAAUUUGUGAAAACUCUCCAUAAGGUGGAACCUACCAAAGCUCCCAGUGGUGUGUAAUACCACAGAUGGUGCAUUCAUGGAUACAGUGCUUGAAGUGGGCGCACAACACAGGAACAAUGAUAUUGAGGAAUUAUACAGUAGGAUAUACUGUAUCAGAUAUACUGAGGACAAUUGGACAUACAACCUUGUGUCCACACAUUCAUUUUCUAUGCUGUUUGGCUGCAUACUAAAUACACAGACCACACACUUUUUGUUGAUAUCCCUGUAAAAUGAAAAAAAUAAAAAACAAUGUGAUUAUCUAAAAAAAUAUUUCGCUGCAAAAAGGACAUAUUAACAUGCAAACAUAGAGACAAAGCUGGGACAGCUAGGGGCAACAAAAGGCUGGAGAAGUUGUUUAAUGAUAAAGAUAAUGAUCAAUAUAAAAAGAGCAUCCCAGAGGAAGAAUCUCUCUGAAAGUAAAGAUGUAGAGGUGUUCACUAAUCUGUGCAAACCUGUGUGGGUAAAUCAUGAAGCAAUAGUACAGUAAUAUGCCUCGUAUGAAAUUGGGAAUUUCAUCAUCUACCGUGCAUAAUAUACAAAUAUUCAGAGAAAAUCCAGAAAAAUCUUUUCAGGACUGAAAAACCGUAUUGGAUGGCUGUAGUCCUCUGGACCUCAGGUGCCGUGGCACUGCAUCAAAACCAGACUGACUGAGUUAAAGUGGAAAACUGUUCUGUGGUUACAGACACAUUAAAACCAGACCUGUGGACCGAGUUAAGGUGGAAAACUGUCCUGUGGUUACCGACACAUCAAAAUUUGCCGUUCUUUUUGGGAAAUCAGUCAAGAGACGCAGCUUUUUACAAAAACAUUUCAUUUGUUAUUGUUCUUAAGUUUCUAAGCAGGAUAUAUAUAAAAAGUUCAUAUCAAACUACCUAGUGCUUGGCAGACUUCAGACAGCCUGGGGUUAACCAUGCAAAAAAAAGAGAAAAAACAGUUCAAGGUUCUCUCCUCCUUCUACAGCUGUAGCCUACCCCUGUAAAACUGUUCCGACUGAACAAAUUUGCUCAUUGCCAUUGAGUAGCUUACACAUGUCUACAUAGUAUCAGUUAAGACGAGCAUCGUUGAAUUAUCAUCAAAUAUGAUCAAAAAUGUUGGUCCUCUCGUGUUUUUCAUGGUGUGUUUGGCCCUAGCUCAGACUAAGGAUCCACCGUCCGGGGACAUACAUUUCCUGCUUUCAAAUAAUGCGACUGAUCAAGAUAAAUAUGCCGACUUGGACAGUUUGACCGAUGACGAGAUGCCAUGUGAUGGAAUAUGCCUCUGCAAAGCGCUAUUGACUCACGUUGUCAAACAGUUGCCGACAAAUGGCUCAGAACCUGAGGCUCAUUUAAAAAGUGUGAUACAUGACGCCUGUGAAAAGCUCAAAGUGCCGACAGAUAAAUGCACUGAAUUUGUGAAAACUCUCCAUAAGGUGGAACCUACCAAAGCUCCCAGUGGUGUGUAAUACCACACAGAUGGUGCAUUCAUGGAUACAAUGCUUGAAGUGGGCGCACAACACAGGAACAAUGAUAUUGAGGAAUUAUACAGUAGAAUAUACUGUAUCAGAUAUACUGAGGACAAUUGGACAUACAAACUUGUGUCCACACAUUCAUUUUCUAUGCUGUUUGGCUGCAUACUAAAUACACAGACCACACACUUUUUGUUGAUAUCCCUGUAAAAUGAAAAAAAUAAAAACAAUGUGAUUAUCUAAAAAAA